UACGUAGGGUGCAAGCGUUGUCCGGAAUUAUUGGGCGUAAAGAGCUCGUAGGCGGUUUGUCGCGUCUGCUGUGAAAACGCGAGGCUCAACCUCGCGCCUGCAGUGGGUACGGGCAGACUGGAGUACUGCAGGGGAGACUGGAAUUCCUGGUGUAGCGGUGGAAUGCGCAGAUAUCAGGAGGAACACCGGUGGCGAAGGCGGGUCUCUAGUACGGUACUGACGCUGGAGACGCGAAAGCGUGGGGAGCGAACAGG
rnacentral:rRNA from 1 species